rnacentral:rRNA from 1 species
UACAGAGGUCCCAAGCGUUGUUCGGAUUUACUGGGCGUAAAGGGUGCGUAGGUGGCGGGGUAAGUCUGGUGUGAAAGCUCCGAGCUCAACUCGGAAAAGCAUUGGAAACUAUCCCGCUGGAGGGUCGGAGGGGAGACUGGAAUUCUCGGUGUAGCAGUGAAAUGCGUAGAUAUCGUGAGGAAGACCAGUGGCGAAGGCGGGUCUCUGGACAGUUCCUGACGCUGAGGCGCGAAGGCCAGGGGAGCAAACGGG